rnacentral:rRNA from 1 species
GAUGAACGCUAGCGGGAGGCUUAAUACAUGCAAGUCGAGGGGUAACAGGGGCUUCGGCCCGCUGACGACCGGCGCACGGGUGAGUAACGCGUACGCAACUUACCUCCAAGCGAGGGAUAGCCCUGGGAAACUGGGAUUAAUACCUCAUGUGAUUAUGAUGCCGCAUGGUGUUAUAAUUAAAGUUCAGGCGCUUGGAGAUGGGCGUGCGUCCUAUUAGCUAGUUGGUGAGGUAACGGCUCACCAAGGCGACGAUAGGUAGGGGGCGUGAGAGCGUGGCCCCCCACACGGGUACUGAGACACGGACCCGACUCCUACGGGAGGCAGCAGUAAGGAAUAUUGGACAAUGGGCGCAAGCCUGAUCCAGCCAUCCCGCGUGCAGGAUGACAGCCCUACGGGUUGUAAACCGCUGUCAGAGGGGAUGAAAUGCGGGUGGGUUCUCCCAUCCGUUUGACAUAGCCUCAGAGGAAGCACGGGCUAAGUUCGUGCCAGCAGCCGACGG